rnacentral:rRNA from 1 species
UGUGUCCUACGGGACGCAGCAGUGGGGAAUAUUGCACAAUGGGGGAAACCCUGAUGCAGCGACGCCGCGUGAGUGAAGAAGUAUCUCGGUACGUAAAGCUCUAUCAGCAGGAAAGAAAAUGACGGUACCUGACUAAGAAGCCCCGGCUAACUACGUGCCAGCAGCCGCGGUAAUACGUAGGGGGCAAGCGUUAUCCGGAUUUACUGGGUGUAAAGGGAGCGCAGACGGCAGUGCAAGUCUGGAGUGAAAGCCCGGGGCCCACCCCGGAACUGCUCUGGCAACUGCGCGGCUAGAGUACUGGAGGG